rnacentral:rRNA from 1 species
UACGUAGGGUGCAAGCGUUAAUCGGAAUUACUGGGCGUAAAGCGUGCGCAGGCGGUUAUAUAAGACAGUUGUGAAAUCCCCGGGCUCAACCUGGGAACUGCAUCUGUGACUGUAUAGCUAGAGUACGGUAGAGGGGGAUGGAAUUCCGCGUGUAGCAGUGAAAUGCGUAGAUAUGCGGAGGAACACCGAUGGCGAAGGCAAUCCCCUGGACCUGUGACUGACGCUCAUGCACGAAAGGCGUGGGGAGCAACGGGA